UCAAUUCGAAUGGUGUAUCCAAGAUAUAUAGAGACUGGUAGGCGCGCUUAUACCUGUAAAAUUUGACGCCAAAUCCGGCGCUAGGUAAACUCAAUCCAUAGAUGGCGCCAGGGUGAUCAGUGUACUUCAAAUGAAUGUCAUUUAAAUUGUUUUAGGUUAUGAUGUUAUGUACAAAAAUUUUUUACUUAGCGACUUGGUGUGGUUUGGCAUCUACAGUGUGUUAUACCUAGUUAUUGUUGCAAACAAUUUCGAGCAUUGAGGGGUUCCACUAAAAAGGAUGCUCGUUAUCACAGUAAAUAGUAGCGCAAUACCUGCAUUACAGACUUCUCACCCCGUCUAGCUGUCGGAGCUUGUACUGGAUCAAGCGAAGUCAACAAGUCAUUGAUCAAUGUAAACCAUAUGUGAACAAACCAGGAGCCGCCCUUCUUAUAUUAAGAUAAGCAUCAAAUGACCCUCACCUACACAAUCUACGGUGUAAGCAAUCAUGCCGAGAGCUGUAAGAACCUCUGACACAAAAUCAUUAUUGCCCGUUUGAUUAGCGAGAUUCUCGGCUGCUGAGAUGGGGAUUGAAGGAACUGGCAAAAGUCUACAUUAUUACUGUUAAGAUGGAAGGUAGGGGACCCGACUUGUUCAACCUACCUUUUUAUUUUAUAACUUAAUCUCGGAAGCUCCCAGGAUCUAAAUGCUGGAUAGAAGGGGACUAGUGCAAUAAUUUUAACCAACUUCUGUUCCAGGAGUGUGGCUUAUCCUAACCUUAGUCAUCUUCCCAUUUAACGCCUCUGCAAAACGACCAACUUCGGACUUCAGAAGAAUGACAGAUCACUGCGUAGGCAACGACGUGGAAUUGUAUUAGGUGUCGAUGCUAACGAUGUGUGGGGAAACACAACUACACUACACUUCUGCAGUCUGCACAGCUUCCUUGCCUUGGGUCUCAUGCCGAGUACAAUUACUUAGUGGUCGCUCUCCUACUUUCCAUGGAAAUUUAAAAUACAGAUGCGUUAAAACAUAGACCCUUUUUCCAUAUUAUUAUCAGGGAAACUGCCUGUUACAUUUUUUACAAAUAUUUACAAAUAAAUUUUCUAUAAACAAC